rnacentral:rRNA from 1 species
GAUGAACGCUGGCGGCGUGCCUAAUACAUGCAAGUCGAGCGAACAGAUGAGGAGCUUGCUCCUCUGACGUUAGCGGCGGACGGGUGAGUAACACGUGGAUAACCUACCUAUAAGACUGGGAUAACUUCGGGAAACCGGAGCUAAUACCGGAUAAUAUAUUGAACCGCAUGGUUCAAUAGUGAAAGACGGUUUUGCUGUCACUUAUAGAUGGAUCCGCGCCGCAUUAGCUAGUUGGUAAGGUAACGGCUUACCAAGGCAACGAUGCGUAGACGACCUGAGAGGGUGAUCGGCCACACGGGAACUGAGACACGGUCCAGACUCCUACGGGAGGCAGCAGUAGGGAAUCGUCCGCAAUGGGCGAAAGCCUGACGGAGCGACGCCGCGUGAGUGAUGAAGGUCUUCGGAUCGUAAAACUCUGUUAUUAGGGAAGAACAAAUGUGUAAGUAACUAUGCACGUCUUGACGGUACCUAAUCAGAAAGCCACGGCUAACUACGUG